rnacentral:rRNA from 1 species
AUUGAACGCUGGCGGCAGGCUUAACACAUGCAAGUCGAGCGGAGAUGAGGUGCUUGCACCUUAUCUUAGCGGCGGACGGGUGAGUAAUGCUUAGGAAUCUGCCUAUUAGUGGGGGACAACAUUCCGAAAGGAAUGCUAAUACCGCAUACGUCCCACGGGAGAAAGCAGGGGAUCUUCGGACCUUGCGCUAAUAGAUGAGCCUAAGUCGGGUUAGCUAGUUGGUGGGGUAAAGGCCUACCAAGGCGACGAUCUGUAGCGGGUCUGAGAGGAUGAUCCGCCACACUGGGACUGAGACACGGCCCAGACUCCGACGGGAGGCAGCAGUGGGGAAUAUUGGACAAUGGGGGGAACCCUGAUCCAGCCAUGCUGCGUGUGUGAAGAAGGCCUUAUGGUUGUAAAGCACUUUAAGCGAGGAGGAGGCUACUGAGACUAAUACUCUUGGAUAGUGGACGUUACUCGCAGAAUAAGCACCGGCUAACUCUGUGCCAGCCGCCGCCGUAAAAC